CGAGUGGCGGACGGGUGAGUAAUGUCUGGGAAACUGCCUGAUGGAGGGGGAUAACUACUGGAAACGGCUGCUAAUACCGCAUAAGCGCACAGUACCGCAUGGUACGGUGUGAAAAACUCCGGUGGUAUGAGAUGGACCCGCGUCUGAUUAGGUAGUUGGUGGGGUAACGGCCUACCAAGCCGACGAUCAGUAGCCGACCUGAGAGGGUGACCGGCCACAUUGGGACUGAGACACGGCCCAA
rnacentral:rRNA from 1 species